UACGGAGGGGGCUAGCGUUGUCCGAAGUUACUGGGCGUAAAGCGCGCGUAGGCGGGUUGGUAAGUCCGCUGUGAAAGCCCGGAGCUCAACUCCGGAGGGUCGGUGGAUACUGCCAGUCUUGAAGGUGCUAGGGGGAGAUGGAAUUACCGGUGUAGCGGUGAAAUGCGUAGAUAUCGGUAGGAACACCAGUGGCGAAGGCGGUCUCCUGGGGCAUUCUUGACGCUGAGGCGCGAAAGCUAGGGGAGCAAACAGG
rnacentral:rRNA from 1 species